UAGGAUCUAGAUAGUUAUACUAUGUCAGAGCUGACCGCCUGGACAAGAGUAAUGUGUGGUGUACGUUCCCUAAGAAUCCGCAAAUUGUCCGCAGGACCCCUUUUUUCUAUCUGAGAUCCCCGGUACGGUGCUUGGAAGAUGGGUAAGAGGUCCUUAGGGGUAUUCGACCUAUCUCAGUGCAAUCCUAACGCCUUACUGCGUGCAGCAUUGUCAACGAUCAACUCAGAAACUGUCAACGGAACCGACGGAGGAAUACCUCUGUCUAAUAAAUUACAACCAAAAUGCAAACGCAUUACUUAGCUUGUAGGAGCAUAAGACUGUCUCUUGCGGCAAGAAACGUGCCGGUUGACACAAAUGUGAUUUCUGCCCAGGCUUUGAAUGUGCAAAGUGAAGAAUUGCAUCAAGAGCGCAAGUAAAAAACGCGGGAGGUAACUAUGCUCUUUAAGGUAGCCAAGAUGCCUCGUCAUCUAAUUAGUUCGCGCAUGAAUGGGAUAACGAGAUUCCACUGUCUAUCUACUAUCUAGCGAACACAGCCAAGGGGACGGCUUGGGCAUCAGCGGGGAAAGAAGACCCUGUUGAGCUGACUCUAGUCUGGCAUUGUGAGAGACACGAGGGGUUAGCAUAAGUGGGAACUUCGGUCGACUUGAAAUACACUCUCCGAUCGUUUCUCGGUUACUCGGUGAGGCGGAGGCUGCAGUGUCUUCGACGUUAGUCGGAAUUGUUGGAGCCAAGACCCUAGUCCUGAGAGGGCGGGUGCUUUUUGGAAGGGUGCAGGUGUCUGGGAACUGGGUGCCUGUAUUCUGAGACUAGUGCUGGGUCGACUCGAUCUGAGGACACGCCAGGCGGGAGCUUUGACUGGGGCGGUACAUCUGUCAAAUGAUAACGCAGGUGUCCUAAGGCCAGUCAGCGAGGAAGAAACCUCGCGUAGAGCAAAAGGCAAAAGGCUGGCUUGAUCCCUGAUUUUCAGUACGGAAUGCGGGACUGCGAAAGCACGCCUAUCGAUCUUCUUGGCUUCGGAGUUUCCUAGCAAGAGGUGGUUCAGAAAUUACCACAAAAGCGACGUCGCCUUGAACGGCUUUGGCGCACAAGCCAGUU
rfam:Orchesella cincta Ocin01_Sc6033, whole genome shotgun sequence.